rnacentral:misc_RNA from 1 species
UACGUACCGGACGAGCGUUAAUCGGAAUUACUGGGCGUAAAGCGCGCGUAGGUGGCUUGAUAAGCCGGUUGUGAAAGCCCCGGGCUCAACCUGGGAACGGCAUCCGGAACUGUCAGGCUAGAGUGCAGGAGAGGAAGGUAGAAUUCCCGGUGUAGCGGUGAAAUGCGUAGAGAUGUGGAGGAACACCAGUGGCGAAAGCGACUUUCUGGCCUAUACCUGACGCUGAGGCGCGAAAGCGUGGGGAUCAAACAGG